AUGUCCGUGUAUCUAUACAAUACUCAGUUUCAGAAACUCGCUCGCUUUGCUAAGCAAGACGUUCCUGAUGAAAAGAGCAUGAUCUAUCAAUUCAGAGGUGGCCUCAGAGAAGAUCUGCAAUUACUUCUCGUGCUUUUUGAGCCGACCAAGUAUGAUGAUUUCUACAAUAUGGCUCUAAAGCAAGAGGCUGCUCAGCUCAAGUGUGAGGCUUCUAAGAAGAGAGUCAGGGAUGCAGUUCAGUCUUCUUCUUCCUCACUAGUGGCUGCUAAGCAACAGAAGUUCUGGUUGCCUCCUCCUCCUCCGUUUCGUCAGCCUUACCAGCAGAAGAACAAAGGUGGCCAUGGAUCUUCCCACCCACCCAACCCUGGCUAUCAGAACAAGUCUCAUAAUCAAGCUCCAAAGUCCAAUGCUCCUUAUCAUCGUCCACUCUCAGAGGUGACUUGCAACAAGUGUCAGCAGAAAGGUCACUAUGCUAACAAGUGUUUCAACCAAAGGCGCCUUCCGCCUCCUCCUCCUGUGAGAUCUUCCAGCAAUGCAGUGGUCAAGCAUAAUCCCAAGUCUGCAAAGGUGAAUAUGAUGAAUGCAGCUCAAGCGGAGGAAUCUACUGAUGUGAUAAUGGGUAAUCUCUCAGUUAAUGAUAUUCCUGCAAAAGUUUUAUUUGAUACUGGUGCAUCGCAUUCUUUCAUGUCAUACCCAUUUGCAUCGAAGCACAAUUUUGACAGAAAGGAAUUAUCUAGAGCAAUGCAAGUUAUUUCUCCGGCUAAGCGUUUGAGCUCUAGCAUGAUGGUUCCAAAUGUUGGUAUCAAGAUGGGCGACUAUAAAUUUCUGGCCAAACCAAUUGUUCUUGGUGACUCGGAUAUUGAUCUAAUUCUCGGGAUGGACUGGCUUUCUAAGCACAAGGCUCAACUUGAUUGUGCUGCCAGAAAAUUCAAUUGA
rnacentral:rRNA from 1 species